AAGUCGAACGCUUUGUCUUUAACUGAUAUGACGAGCUUGCUCUGAUUUGAUUUUAUCUGACAAAGAGUGGCGAACGGGUGAGUAACACGUGGGUAACCUACCUCUUAGCAGGGGAUAACAUUUGGAAACAAGUGCUAAUACCGUAUAAUACCAACAACCGCAUGGUUGUUGGUUGAAAGAUGGUUCUGCUAUCACUAAGAGAUGGACCCGCGGUGCAUUAGCUAGUUGGUAAGGUAACGGCUUACCAAGGCAAUGAUGCAUAGCCGAGUUGAGAGACUGAUCGGCCACAAUGGGACUGAGACACGGCCCAUACUCCUACGGGAGGCAGCAGUAGGGAAUCUUCCACAAUGGGCGCAAGCCUGAUGGAGCAACGCCCGCGUGUGUGAUG
rnacentral:rRNA from 1 species